GAUGAACGCUGGCGGCGUGCCUAAUACAUGCAAGUCGAGCGAACAGACGAGGAGCUUGCUCCUCUGACGUUAGCGGCGGACGGGUGAGUAACACGUGGAUAACCUACCUAUAAGACUGGGAUAACUUCGGGAAACCGGAGCUAAUACCGGAUAAUAUAUUGAGCCGCAUGGUUCAAUAGUGAAAGACGGUUUUGCUGUCACUUAUAGAUGGAUCCGCGCCGCAUUAGCUAGUUGGUAAGGUAACGGCCUACCAAGGCAACACUGCGUAGCCGACCUGCGAGGGUGAUCGGCCACAGUGGAACUGAAACACGGUCAAGACUCCUGAGGGAGGCAGCAGUAGGGAAUCUUCCGCAAUGGGGGAAAGCCUGACGGAGCAACGCCGCGUGAGUGAUGAAGGUCUUCGGAUCGUAAAACUCUGUUAUUAGGGAAGAACAAAUGUGUAAGUAACUAUGCACGUCUUGACGGUACCUAAUCAGAAAGCCACGGCUAACUACGUG
rnacentral:rRNA from 1 species